AUUGAACGCUGGCGGCAUGCCUUACACAUGCAAGUCGAACGGCAGCACGGGAGCAAUCCUGGUGGCGAGUGGCGAACGGGUGAGUAAUAUAUCGGAACGUGCCCAGUCGUGGGGGAUAACGUAGCGAAAGCUACGCUAAUACCGCAUACGAUCUAUGAAUGAAAGCGGGGGAUCGCAAGACCUCGCGCGAUUGGAGCGGCCGAUAUCAGAUUAGGUAGUUGGUGAGGUAAAGGCUCACCAAGCCGACGAUCUGUAGCUGGUCUGAGAGGACGACCAGCCACACUGGGACUGAGACACGGCCCAGACUCCUACGGGAGGCAGCAGUGGGGAAUUUUGGACAAUGGGCGCAAGCCUGAUCCAGCAAUGCCGCGCGCAGGAUGAAGGCCUUCGGGUUGUAAACUGCUUUUGUACGGAGCGAAACGGCUUCCACUAAUACUGGGGGCUAAUGACGGUACCGUAAGAAUAAGCACCGGCUAACUACGUGCCAGCAGCCGCUGUAACAC
rnacentral:rRNA from 1 species